GCUAAACCAUUUAGAGCUUUAUAGGUCAUUAGCAAUACUUUAUAAUCAAUACGGAACUUAAUAGGUAACCAGUGUUUGAAAACAAUUUUCCUGUGGAGAAAAUGAAUGGACUUUUUAUUCCAGGAACUGAAUCGUUCAACUCUAUAGAACGGCACAUAAAACAUAAGGGAAAAAAAAAAAAAAAAAAAAUGUAAAUAAUAAUCAGAGGGUAUGCAUUGACGUCACUUUCCCGCUGAAACACGCUUCCUCAGCCAGUCUGAGUGGCGAAAGAGCUGCUGCAUGAUUGAAACGCGAGUAAAUCACGAGUAAAACAAACGAUUAAACUAAAAGUUGGACUCGAUAGAGUUUCUGUUAAAACUUACCAAAGAUUCAGUGAUCCAUGGAUAUUGACAUGCAGCGAGGAAUCGUGUUUCCAGACCUUUAUAUGUGUCUGAUCUCGACGCCGGGGAAACACAUAAAGCAAAUUUGCCUGUGAACGCUUUAUAUAAAUACAAUAUAGGCUUCAGUGAGAAUAUUGAGAUGCGUGCACAGAGCCAAGACAGCACAUGCCUGAAACAUCACACAAGAUUGUUCUGCAUGGAUCAGUCCGAGAAACUCAAAAGUACAGUCAAGGAACACAUCAGUGUCCUCCCGAUUCGAGCACAGUGACCUCAUUGACCUCCAUAGGCGUCUAUUGAGCUGCUCAUCACUCAAGGCAGGACCUCUGGCACUCUGGUUAUUACACUCGCCCGCUCUUCGCACAUUCUAUUGGACCGUUCACAUGGAAAAGCCAGACGGGGGCCGUGUGGAGCUUCUCUGAAGUGAAAAACAUCUCCAGCUGAGGUCCGCAUUGAAAUGAGAUUAGGAGAGGAGAUGAGAACGACAUGGCAUAAUCUACGAGUCCUUUCCCUUAACCCAGG